UGACAAUGCUUUACACAAGGAAGUAAAGUUCACACUGGGAUGAAUCAGGCAUCUUAGCAAGAUGAAAUGAUGGGGAAGAACUGAACACGUAGACAAGUCACAAGAAAACCAGCAUGAGGGUCUCUGGUGGCGGUCUCAUAAGCUGACCAGCACGAAGAGGACUGUAAAUAAAAUUCAUUUAAGGAGGAUGUCCGGCCGUCUUAUACAUUUCAGGACCAAAAUGUAAACAUUUCUUGAACUGGCUUUUUCAUGUCAAAUUCUGACCAAAACUGUUGCCAAAAGUUGUCAAAAGAUAAAAAGCAAUAAACAUGAG